GAUGAACGCUGGCGGCGUGCUUAACACAUGCAAGUCGAACGGAAAGGCUCCUGCUUGCAGGGGUACUCGAGUGGCGAACGGGUGAGUAACACGUGGGUGAUCUGCCCAGCACUUCGGGAUAAGCCUGGGAAACUGGGUCUAAUACCGGAUAGGACGAUGGUUUGGAUGCCAUUGUGGAAAGUUUUUUCGGUGUGGGAUGAGCUCGCGGCCUAUCAGCUUGUUGGUGGGGUAAUGGCCUACCAAGGCGUCGACGGGUAGCCGGCCUGAGAGGGUGUACGGCCAAUUGGGGGCGGAGUACCGGCCGAGCCCCCGACGGGGGGCAGGGGGGGGAAAGUUUGAAAAAGGGGGGCAGGCCUGAGGCGGCGGCGCCGGGGGGGGGAGCACGGCCUUCGGUUUGUAACCUCUUUGCGCUGGGGACGAAGGGAAAGUGAGGGUACCUGGAGAAGAAGCACCGGCUAACUCCGUG
rnacentral:rRNA from 1 species